rnacentral:other from 1 species
CGCUACCUGCUGUGUGCGAUGUACACCAGAUAUGCUUAAACCCCUAAGACGUUAAAUCGGGACUUGUCACUGGAGAAAGGGCGAGCACGCCUGCGAGUCCAGGAUCCUUUCCCCCUCUACCACGAGGCCCACCUAACUGGUCAAACAGUGCGGUUUAACGUUACGGUGGCGACGGCACAGCGGGUGGUCU